GAAUCUUUUUUUUUUUUUCAAUUUACUAAGUGUCGAGCGAUUAUUCUGGAUCACGAUUCCACGCUCUCUAAUAUUUGCUGUGCCGAAUUUAAACUUUAACUCGAUCUAUUUUUCGAUUGUGAAGUGCCUGUGAACUCGUUUCAAUCGACUGAAGUAGCGACUGUCGGUGCUGGACGUGAUGGACAGAAUGUGCGUGUAUAGGCGUUGUGUAUUUUUAAAUAUUCGUUUAGUAGUGAUUCAUUAGGUGAUGCAAUAGCUUCGCAAAUCAAUUUUUCAUUUCCGCUGAAAGGUGUUCAGUAUGACUGCUAAAUAGAAAGAGGGUUAUGAUAGUUUUGGAUGGAAUAAUAUGUUAACAAUAGGGUGGUUCAGUUUAAGUUUAGUUAUUGACAAAUCUAAAUUUUACUUAUUCGAGGAUGAUGGUGGGUUGUUCUUCUGUCUUUUGAGAUGACACCUCAAUCAAGUUAUUUGGGUUUUGUCGCAACUUAUCAUCUUUGCGAAGGCGGAACUGCUCACGUAUGGAAACAAUUUUUUCUCCGAGAAAAGCUAAAAGGGAAAGGCUCAAUCCAACCGAUAAAACGACAAAUGCGCCAGUCAAAUUUUUCAGGGACAGGGGUGACAGUUUCUUUGUUUUGUUUCCAGUUUGGGGUUUUCCGGUACAUUGAGGAGGCAUUGGACGGAACCAAGUGUCCCAGAAGUUGACCAGGGCAAUUUCUUGCAGAUUCAAUAUUCUAUUUUCAUUGUGCCAAAGAAUGAAACCAAAAUUCCAGUAAUUAACAAAAUCUUAUCUCAUCUAUUGAAGCUAGCUGUACCAGCUUACCCUUGCUGCAUGCUUUGCGUGUAGGGACUGUUUUUCUGUAGAACAAGCGUCGACAUAAUGGCAAUGAACUCUUCUUUUGCUAUUUGCAAGUUGCACUUUCCAGUCUUUUUAAAAUCAUUCCUGAUCGCGUCUUUGAGAAAAAGAACAGCAAACUAACUAUAUUUUACCUCGAGGAAUACGAUUUUAGAUUCUGGUUUAUUAUGGCGGAUACAGUCUGACACUGUUGCGCAUCGAGAGUUUGGAAAGGAGUCGAUUUUUUCCCUUAAAUUCCCGAACAGGCCCGUGUAAUUGUUGGACUGUUGCACGUUACAAUUAAUAUAGUAUUCAUAGAUCCGGAUUCCCUGACCAGUAAAUUGAUGUCGCCAUUGUUGAUAACGUCGUAGACAGAAUCGACUAGGGGAUGACUGAUUGGCGUCACGACAUAAGUGAAGAGAGUCGACGUGUAGGCCUGGACGAAGACGAAAGCGGCCAAGAUCCAAACGCCUGCGACCACUCGGUAGGGUAAUCUUUUCGAUUUACAAGAUCCACCUAAUCAAUAAUUAAGAGGUUUUGACUUAUACUUAUUAAGUCAUUUGGUAUCCGUGUGUGGAACCUUGCGACAGCAAAUUGCCGAAGACGUAAAGAUACUGUUGUCUGGUUUCCCAUUUGGCAGCCGUUAGAUUGUAGUUUUGUCUAAAUGUCGCUUCAAUCAUGGAUCGAUAUUGCAAGUAGCGCUGGAUUAAAUUUAAAACUACGAUGACGCAAACGAUCGAAAUCCCCAGUCCUAACCAAACCUGGUGAUCGAAUAAAAUUAGAUGCUGUUUAAUAAGAAAUAUCGUGGCAAGUUAUUUCAAUUUUCCAACCGGCCAUUGAAAUGGUUUGACGACGGCGUUGAUGUUGGCCGAUUCAUCAGGGACGGGAAUGAGGAAAGCGAAAUGAUCGUAAAUCCACGGCAAUGUGAAAUCUACGACCGAAUUGUACUGGAAGCUCGCGCUCGUAUCGUGGACCAGCAAAUCGGAUUGCUGUGAAAGAGAAUGGAAUGAACUUAACUUGAUUCGACAAAUAGCUAAAAAGUCCUGGUCCUUUUUCUGAUGGCUCAGGUUUGUUUUCCGUCACUCGAACCAUUUCGUACCUGUAUGGAUAAUGAAAUAAGGUAAUGUGUUAGACGUCAGUCGAGUCACUUUCUUUUUUUGUUGGUUACGUGAAAUUUAAACGUUGCGAUAAGAAUUCGAGGAGUACUCCUCCCUUGAGUGGUCCAAUUAUUCCUUUAGGGUUUCCACUCCAACGUGUCUGUACCGCAUCAUUAUAGGUUAAUUCAACUUUAUUUUCAACAUUGAAUCGCACUAAAUCGUUGGUGUUUUCCUACCCAAAUGACGCGGAGGUGUUGGCCGUUGAGUGUGUUUGCCAUUGAUGAGGAACUGGGAAU